AGAGGCCAAUAUCUUUCUCUCUGUCUGGGCUACAAUUGUAGACGGUUGGGUAAUUAUGCUUUUCACCUGUGAAAGGCUGUUGUGCUGCUAAUGAGGGAGUUCUAUUAACCUGAGCCGAGCGGUGAGGGCGGAGCACCCUUCUAAAAUUGAACAGUAGCCUUACAUUUAGGUUUUUGUCCUAACACUACACAGCUGAUUCAGAUUAACAAAGCUGGAUGAUUAUUUGAAUCAGCUUUGUAGGGCUAGGGGAAUAAAAAGAAAAUGUGCAGCCCUUUGGGGUUCAGGUGACUGAGUGUGGGAAGCCUUUGUCAUAGGGUAAAAGUUGCAUACCCCUGGGCUGUAGGCUGCACACUUUGGGUCAAAUAUCAGGUUCUGUAGCUGGGUAUUUUAUCAGAACAAAUCUGUUCUACAAUGAUUAUUUUCCUUAGCUCAGGGUUGUUUUGCCUAUUGAUGGCAGCUGUGGGCAUACAAGCACAACAGACACCUCUAUAAG